rnacentral:rRNA from 1 species
GGCGGACGGGUGAGUAAUGUAUAGUUAAUCUGCCCUUUAGAGGGGGAUAACAGUUGGAAACGACUGCUAAUACCCCAUACUCCUUUUAUCUUAAUGGUAAUUGGGAAACGUUCUUUCGCUAAAGGAUGAGACUAUAUGGUAUCAGGUAGUUGGCGGGGUAAGAGCCUACCAAGCCAAUGACGCCUAGCUGGUCUGAGAGGAUGAUCAGCCACACUGGAACUGAGACACGGUCCAG